GACGAACGCUGGCGGCGUGCCUAAUACAUGCAAGUUGAGCGCUGAAGGUUGGUACUUGUACCGACUGGAUGAGCAGCGAACGGGUGAGUAACGCGUGGGGAAUCUGCCUUUGAGCGGGGGACAACAUUUGGAAACGAAUGCUAAUACCGCAUAAAAACUUUAAACACAAGUUUUAAGUUUGAAAGAUGCAAUUGCAUCACUCAAAGAUGAUCCCGCGUUGUAUUAGCUAGUUGGUGAGGUAAAGGCUCACCAAGGCGAUGAUACAUAGCCGACCUGAGAGGGUGAUCGGCCACAUUGGGACUGAGACACGGCCCAAACUCCUACGGGAGGCAGCAGUAGGGAAUCUUCGGCAAUGGACGAAAGUCUGACCGAGCAACGCCGCGUGAGUGAAGAAGGUUUUCGGAUCGUAAAACUCUGUUGGUAGAGAAGAACGUUGGUGAGAGUGGAAAGCCCAUCAAGUGACGGUAACUACCCAGAAAGGGACGGCUAACUACGUG
rnacentral:rRNA from 1 species